rnacentral:rRNA from 1 species
ACUCAAAGGAAUUGACGGGGGCCCGCACAAGCGGUGGAGUAUGUGGUUUAAUUCGAAGCAACGCGCAGAACCUUACCUACUCUUAACAUCCCAGGACGCAUGCAGAGAUGUAUGCUUCACUUCGGUGACCUGGAGAUAGGUGCUGCAUGGCUGUCGUCAGCUCGUGUCGUAAGAUGUCUGGUUAAGUCCAAAAACGAGCGCAACCCCUGUCCUUAGUUACCAUCAUUAAGUUGGGGACUCUAGGGAGACCGCCGGUGUUAAACCGGAGGAAGGCGGGGAUGACGUCAAGUCCUCAUGGCCCUUACGAGUAGGGCUACACACGUACUACAAUGGCAGGAACAAACAGUCGCUAAGCCGCGAGGUGGAGCUAAUCUGUAAAACACUGUCUCAGUUCGGAUUGAAGUCUGCAACUCGACUUCAUGAAGCUGGAAUCGCUAGUAAUCGCUGAUCAGCAAGCAGCGGUGAAUACGUUCCCGGGCCUUGUACACACCGCCCGU